CACCAAUGAACUCUCCAAACCGAUCACCCAGAUCACCUCACACCAACAUACCCGACUAACACUCACAGGUCCCUUCUCUGGUGAAAAAUGAAAUCCCCACCCAUCCAACAAAAACAGAAAUCAGAACUGUACCUCAACCAGUAACACUCCUCACCGAAGCACCAUAGCAACAGAUUUAGCCUCUGGAAAAGCGUCACCUUCAGUCAUAGAGUUCACAUUCUAGGCCUAUUAGUUCGCCGGCAGAUGGGCUAUCCGUCUGCGGCCCUGGACCCGCCACUGCCGUUUUUAUAGAUGUCCGCGCGCGGUCUCAUAUCCCCACUGAGUUGUGACUGCUGAGCACCAUGGAAAAUAUAACACCUCUCAAUUGUUCGACUUCUGCUGGCCGAGCACUGCUCUACCGGCCGGAGAGAGAUCUAGCAAUGUUUAGAUGUGCUAGGACCUAGCUGAGGCCAUUGUUGUUGUCCCUGCAGGGGCUUGAUGUUAAAUGUACCGAAAGCAACAUUGUUUGUUUUGCUGCCCGUUUUUUUUUCUGUUUUUCUUUUUUUUCUUCUCUCGCUCUAUGCUACCUUUCAUGAGUGUCAGGGGAGGGCAUCAUGAGGUCAGAUCAGAGUUAGCCCAAUGUUUUCUUGAUUGUUGGAUUUGAUGGAAAAUUGAAUCCAAGAAAUUAGCUAGUCACUCAGGCACUAUUUUUUUCUGUCUUAUUAUUAUAGAUACUAAUAAUUCCUAGCCUUUAUUCUGACCUCAGUCUUCAUCACAGAUCAAUAUGUAAUUAAGAACAAUUCAGUCUUUAUCACGGAUCAAUAUGUAAUUAAGAACAAUUCAGUCUUUAAUGGGACUCUCCACCUCAACCCAUUUUAUUAUCAUAAAAUCAUCCAGUGAUGAUGACGCCACAAUAUUUCAAUCCAUUUCAAUCUUCAGUUGCUUAUGUCCAAAGGGGCCUCCUUUGGCUCCCAUUAAGCAGGAAUCAAAUACUCUAAACACAACAUCAGUGCAUUUCUGCUCUUUCUAUUAAC
ensembl:lncRNA